GCGAGGCACGCUGUGGGCGGGGCGACACCCAGCACUGCACCGCAGCAGCAUCAGCUAACCCGCGGAGCCUAGCCGUGCGAUUUUGACAGGAACGUGGUUACAUAGGCGAUAUCUGGAGCACCCCUAAAGCACCCCUCUAAAAAACAGGAAUGGCAGUGAAUGUAUACUCGACGUCUGUAACCAACGAGAACCUGAGCCGACAUGAUAUGCUGGCGUGGGUUAAUGAUUCUCUACAGCUCAGCUACACCAAAAUAGAACAGUUAUGUUCAGGUGCAGCAUAUUGUCAAUUCAUGGACAUGUUAUUCCCAGGAUGUAUUUUUCUAAAGAAGGUGAAAUUCCAGGCAAAGCUGGAACAUGAAUAUAUACACAACUUCAAAGUUCUUCAGGCAGCUUUCAAGAGGAUGAGUGUUGAUAAAAUAAUCCCAGUGGAAAAGCUUGUAAAGGGGAAAUUCCAGGACAACUUUGAAUUCGUCCAGUGGUUUAAGAAAUUCUUUGAUGCCAACUACGAUGGCAAAGAGUAUGAUCCUGUACAAGCUAGACAGGGCCAAGACAUGACUCCUCCCCCGAAUCCAGGUGAACACUUUUCCCACAAACCCAAGAGAACUGGUCCAGGGCCUCAGAGAACAUCGCCAACAGUACCCAAAAACAUGCCCACACCACAGAGGGUGACGACCACCAUCAGGAAGAACCCCAGUCUGGCUCGGAAUGGGGGAGGGGACGCCGAGAUCAUGGAGCUUAAUCAACAGGUAGAGUCCCUGGUUAAUGGAGCUGAAAUUGACUGUAGAUGGACUGGAGAAGGAAAGAGAUUUCUACUUCAGCAAACUCCGAGACAUUGAGUUGAUCUGCCAGGAACACGAGAGCGAGAACAACCCCAUCCUGACUAGGAUAAUCGACAUCCUUUAUGCAACAGAGGAAGGAUUCGCACCGCCAGAAGAUGAGGACAUAGACGAGCAGGCCCACUUGGACCAGGAUGAAUACUGAGCGCUCCCUCCCACUCUCCCUUUCUCCUACACCCCUGUUCUCCUAUCCCCUUCCCCCUCUCCUUUUCUCCACUUUCAACUACUCCUCCCAUUGCACGCUGUUGAUAUCUCCUCCAUUACCUCUGUAUCUAUGGAUGCCCCAUAUGUACUAUGUAUCUGUUUGUCUUCUCCUACUACAGUUCAUGCACUACAUCUCAAAGGCUCAUUACCACCUACCUGCCCCCUCUGAGAAUAGCAACAACAGUACUAUAAUCUAUCCGCCUCAGCAUGUUUCACAUUACGACAUGGAGAAUGAACACAAACAAGGCAUCAGAGACUGAGGGUAGCACAACGGACUUAAAACGGUACAUAUUAUGGUGAGACAGCAGUUUUGAAGGGGAAAAAGUUGUUGCAUGGAAUGCAGUUAUUUGCCUUAGGUCUCCUGCAUAUUUUGUUGUGGCACACCACUGGAUCCAUUCAGCUUUUAGAAUAGGACUUUGGUUUCUCAUUCAUCUGUGUAAUGUCCCUUCAUUAGCCUCAGAAUGUCUCGCUUAGUCAGUUCAAGUGCAGUGACUGAGGCAUAGUCAAUGACCACAAACAGCUACGCUAACAAAAUAUUAGUUCUUCCAGACAUGAUUUAGUGGUCCUCAAACUUUUAUAACUACACAAAGGUAAUUCUGCAAAAUGUUACUGACAUGUCAACACAACUACUGUGUAUUUCGCAAUAGAUAUCCUACAUUUGGAUUUGCUGAGACACUGAAGGAUCUUUUAGGCUUUUAUGGGAUACAGCAAUGACAGGAAUUAUUAAAUUAUUAAAAAAAGAUGCAAAACUAAAAAAAGAACAAAGGGGCAUUUGAAAAUGGGGAAAAAAUGAAGACAACUUAUCUGAAAGAAUGGUACAAAUCAUUCUUUUGCCAUGUGGUUAGUUACUGCAUAUCUAUUGGGAGCAUGUGAAUGUUAUACAUUAUACAUAUGUGCUGUAGCUGUAUUUUAUUUUAUGGAGGUUUGUUUUAGUUCAUUGAUUGUGGCUCAUGAUCCAGUACCGCUUACAUAGUUUCAAAUAAUGAAAUAUACUGAUGGGAUGAAAAAGUGGUAUUUGAUACUAAUCAAACUAGUCACACUACUGAUCGAAUGCUAUUUAACUGAGGUUUUGCUGCUAAUUUUACUGCAUUUCUGUCUUUCAUUUUGACAUUUAAUUUAUUCUGCUAUUGAAUAGCAUGGGCUAUGUUUUUUUGUUGUAAUUAUACAUGAAGAGAGAGAUUUUAAAAAGGCCCAGAUGUGAUGGAAAGGAACAAAGGCUCUCUGAAGUAUUGUGCUGCCUUUACAGUCUUUUACACCCAUCUGCAUAGAGACUCACUCUCAUACAUGUUUUGUCUCAAUUUAAAAACAUGGCCAUAAUAGUGUUCGCAUAAAUUGUUUUGCGUUUUAUUGAGUAAAUAAACAGUUGUAAAAAAAAA